rnacentral:lncRNA from 1 species
UGCCUCUACCGCAAAGUUGUCGCGCUCUCUCCACACCUCACCACACCACCGCGAGUAAAAGUUCAUGCCAACGCUACCAGAACGCAUAGACCAAAACCAAAAAGAAGAGGGAAGAACCUCUCUUCCUAUCGACGCUAACCAGUGCAACAAAAGAGGGAAAAAAAGAAGAAUGGAUGAUGUGCCGCCACGAGCCGCCGUGAGCCACCAUGAAUGUCGCUUGGUCCUGCCACCACGAACUUCGCCGAUUCACAUUCUCCUUCCUACAGCCAGAAUGUAACCCUAAGGAGAAAAGAGGGAAGAAAGAUUUCCUAUUGUUGAUCGAGAAAAGGAAAGGGUAAAGGAUAAGGUCCAUCCGC